rnacentral:lncRNA from 1 species
GUGACGUUCCGUCAUGUUGCGCAAAAGUGCAUUAUCGCGCAACGGCUACCCGACCAAACGAGGGUGCAAAUAUAUCUAUCUCGCUUAUCAUAAGUUGCACAAACAAUGUUGAGCUGGACCUUUAGAAAUCGGUCCGCAAAAGAAGGUUUUGUGAUACCUUGCCCUUUGAACCCAAGCUCUUUCCAAAUUGGCUUUCGAGCGGAGCAGUUCAGUUCAAAAAUCUAUACAAAGUGUACAGUGAACCUGAUCAAGUGUGAUCAAAUUUAAAAAGGAUCAUAAGCUGCUCCAAAUUAGCAAUACUGGCCGAUUUUGGCAAAGAAAAGUGUAAGGAGAAUUCAGUGUUGAGAACAGGACAAACCUUCGAACGAGGGUUUUUUUGUCUAGUUCCAGAUUUGGACUAAUUUAGGAGGAGGAAACAGAAGUCGACAGAGGUGAAGCCGAAACGCGAUUAGCGUUCAGCCGCGUGGGUUACCCCGCGCAUUCCCCACCUCAUCUGUGUCCGUAGGGGAUCCCCGCCAUUAUCUCCGAGUAAUUGGACCCAAUCUCAUGUAGGACGAAGACAACGGUCUGAGGACUGUUGUACCGGUCGUACUCACCGACCACGUUGGCCGUAGGGACAAUCGACCACGAUCCUGAGUCAAGGGCCCCCGCCUACAUUCGAUUGUUUAGUGCAUGUGUAGUCCGUAGGGGCAGUCCGCCAUCUGCCUUGAGCCAUUGGACGCAAUCGUUCCGUUCGAUCAAGAACUCUUCGUCGUUGACCGUGCUCACCGGUCGGCUUUCGUCCGUAGGGGUGCACCGUACCGCACUCUGAGCCAGUGGACAAGCCCGAACGAUUGUCACCACCCGCUCGACUGAUAGUCGAGUGUCGUCAUCAAAUCGACUCGUUUCCAUCCGUUCCAUCCUCCUAAAGUGCCUGAAUCCAACACCGACAAGUCUACGUCAUCAAGCAAGUCGCUGAGAGAGCUGCCAUCGGUGGCGUUAUUGGUCGAUUCCGAAGUCGCAACAUCGGCGUGUAUUAUUUUCUGCGUUCACGCGCGGACACCCGCCACUGGCACUGCCACGCUGGGGGUAGUGCUUCAGUUCGCCUGCUAACCUUCAUCAUCGAAUCGCCACGCCUACCGACUGCGCUCUACGCGGCAAGAUCUGUCGCACUGCAUCGUCAACAUGUCGUCAGCAUAAACCAGGUUAGAACCUUCUAGUUCCCUUACACACGCUAAAAAUGAAUCAAACAAAUUCCAAAUGAUUAUUUGAAUACAAAUAUUGUUAACCAUGCAUAAAUUCAGUUUCGUAUUAGUCUGUGAGCAAUUAUGACUUGAUGUGAGCGAAGCUCAAUUUGGUAAGAUCAGCUUGAGUCACGGUUACGUUUAGUUUCACCAAAAUUGAGGUUUGGUUGAGUUCAGUAUCGUUCGUCCGCUUUGAUUUACGAGAUUGGAUCGCGUCCGCCUAACCUGCCCUGAGACCGCUAACCGGGCAACAGAACGUGCGACUUCGCAACAGUUCCUUCAGAACUGUUGGCGCAUAAGCGAGGUCGUUUAACAGCAGAAAGGCUGAGGAUUGUAACAGUUGGCUACUUUUAGUAAGUUGGUUAGUUUUUGAGUUCCGUGGCUCACUGUUACUCUCCUAGUGUACCCCAUCACGUUACAUAUUGGCGCCCAACUCCUAAGGCUCACUUGCGUUCGCUUGAUAUUU